rnacentral:rRNA from 11 species
GCUGAUAUUCUAAAUGCCCUAAAGUUACUAGAUCCUAUCUGACCUUGGAAGCUAAACAGGGUCAUCCCUGGUUCAUACUUGGAUGGAAAACCACAAACAAAUAUGAGGCAUCAUUAUAU